rnacentral:rRNA from 1 species
UACAGAGGUCCCGAGCGUUGUUCGGAUUCACUGGGCGUAAAGGGUGCGUAGGUGGUUGUGCAAGUCUGAUGUGAAAUCUCCGGGCUUAACCCGGAAAUGGCAUUGGAAACUGCAUGGCUAGAGGGUUGGAGGGGGGACUGGAAUACUUGGUGUAGCAGUGAAAUGCGUAGAUAUGCGGAGGAACACCGAUGGCGAAGGCAGCCUCCUGGGCCAGCACUGACGCUCAUGCACGAAAGCGUGGGGAGCAAACAGG